GGCUCAUAUCAGAUUUAGUUUAUUUUAUAGCUACUCAUAUUGCAUUUCAUUCGAUAAACACUAGUGGUCCUUUACCUCGUGGUGGCGAUGCUGUUUCCUUUGAACCAAAAAGCAACCAAAGAAGAAGCAACACGCGGGAACAGUCGUUUCUCAGCAGCGAGCAACGUGUUCAUCUCUCUCUUCAGGAGUUAUUAAAACAACGGAGAUACAGUCAGUAUAAUGGAGCUACUGGUUAAAACACCGACGAAAAGAAGAUGCCGAUUAAGGCGAUUUAAUCGGGGAGGCGAUUUGGCAGGGAAGAAGAAAAACAGUGAAGGUCAUUUAAGUGAGAAGCAGGAUUUUGAAAGAUGA
ensembl:lncRNA